rnacentral:hammerhead_ribozyme from 1 species
AUUCAGCUGACCUGUCCCAAAUAGGACGAAACGUGCGUCCUAAAC